UUCCCUUCAAAUUCAACAGAAACAUAAUCUACAUCCUCGAGCUGUCUCCUGCUUCGAGGCUGACACUC
rnacentral:sRNA from 1 species